UGGGGAAUUUUCCGCAAUGGGCGCAAGCCUGACGGAGCAAUACCGCGUGAGGGAUUAAGGCCUGUGGGUUGUAAACCUCUUUUUUCAAGGAAGAAUAAAUGACGGUACUUGAGGAAUAAGCAUCGGCUAACUCCGUGCCAGCAGCCGCGGUAAUACGGGGGAUGCAAGCGUUAUCCGGAAUUAUUGGGCGUAAAGCGUCUGUAGGUUGCUUAGUAAGUCUGUUGUUAAAGACUGGGGCUUAACCCCAGGAAAGCAAUGGAAACUGUUGAGCUAGAGUGUGGUAGAGGUAGAGGGAAUUCCUAGUGUAGCGGUGAAAUGCGUAGAUAUUAGGAAGAACACCGGUGGCGAAAGCGCUCUACUGGGCCAUUACUGACACUGAGAGACGAAAGCUAGGGUAGCAAAUGGG
rnacentral:rRNA from 1 species